rnacentral:lncRNA from 1 species
AGAGAUAAUGCUUGAUUCUGCAGACUCUCCCUAGAGAAGAGAAAGCGACGGCGGUGGUGGCGGCGGCGGCAGACUCAUUCUCUCCCCAGACUGCCCAGGAUAAAAAUCAAUAGGUGUUUAAUCUGCGAGGGAGUUGGAUUUCUCUCCAGCGCUGUCCCCCAUCCCCGAGAUUGGAGGGUGGGGGUGGAGGUGGGAGAUGAAUAGAAAUCGGGCCUUCUAAAGCGAGAGGCUCUUGUAGUCAGACUCCAUUCUUCAGAUGAGGCUAAUUGAGGGCCUUGGAGGUUAAACUGAUUGCCUAAGGUCACACAGCUAGGAAAUGGAAGGGCCAGGAUUAUCCCCCACCGCCACCCCCAAACCAGACUGCCUUUUCUCCCAAUAACCUGGAAAGGCGCAAAUCCGGAAUUUGGGUGAUUUUGACACGCCUGCCUGGGUAACCCAGUUCAGUGACUUUUCCCUGCUCCUGGAGGAAACUGGGCAGAAACUUUCUUGAAUUUGGCAGGGAAAGCCUGCUCACGGAAGGAGUCCCGAGCCCGCAGCCGGC